CCAGAACAGACUGGGGGCCACGACAACUGAACGUCAGUGAGGGUCAUAACCAGAACAGACUGGGGGCCACGACAACUGAACGUCAGUGAGGGUCAUAACUAAAAAGGCAUUGUGCCAAAAGAAAGUAAAAGAGACAUCUGGAUAGAUCUGCUAGUUCCAUUUUCAGAUGGAAAAAAUGAAUUCAGGUUCAAUUGAAUAAAGGCGUUAAUUUCAGGGACUUGUCCAAAACUAAAAACAUGAUUUAAAAGUGUUUCACGUUCAUUCUGACAAUAUUUGUGGUUCUGAACGGUUUCCAACAGUCUGACCGACACGUAGCCUGAAAUCCAGUCAUCUUUGUGCUAACAUUCCACUCCUUGCCAAUCCUUGUCAUGCCAAACAGUGGCAAGGAGUGGAAUGUUAAGACAUCCUGGAUUCCAGGCUACCCAUCAGGCAGGCUGACAGAACAGUGAGGGUGUAUCUUAGCAACGAGGGAACAUGAACUGAAUUAUACCAUUUUAUUACUAAAAACAAAAGGCUUCAUCAUGUUUCAUCUGAAAACAGGCUUUACAUGAGCCUACCCACACGUUAGAAAAAUAGAGUUGCAGUUAGGAAUAUGAUGUAUAUCAUAGCAAAAAUAUACGUGGACCUUUCUCUGUGUGGGGAGGCAGGUAGCCUAGUGGUUAGAGUGGAGGGGCGGCAGGGUAGCCUAGUGGUUAGAGUGGAGGGGCGGCAGGGUAGCCUAGUGGUUAGAGUGGAGGGGCGGCAGGGUAGCCUAGUGGUUAGAGUGGAGGGGCGGCAGGGUAGCCUAGUGGUUAGAGUGGAGGGGCGGCAGGGUAGCCUAGUGGUUAGAGGGGAGGGGCGGCAGGGUAGCCUAGUGGUUAGAGAGGAGGGGCGGCAGGGUAGCCUAGUGGUUAGAGAGGAGGGGCGGCAGGGUAGCCUAGUGGUUAGAGAGGGGCGGCAGGGUAGCCUAGUGGUUAGAGCGUUGAGCUAGUCACCGAAAGGUUACAAGUUCAAAUCCCUGAGCUGACAAGGUACAAAUCUGUUGUUCUGCCCCUGAACAAGGCAGUUAACCCACUGUUCCCCAGUAGGCCGUCAUUGAAAAUAAGAAUUUGUUCUUAACUGACCUUGUUAAACAAAGGUAAUAAAAAAAAAAUGGGUCCUACUUCUCAGGGCUCAGUCCUACUUCUCAGGGCUCAGUCCUACUUCUCAGGGCUCAGUCCUACUUCUCAGGGCUCAGUCCUACUUCUCAGGGCUCAGUCCUACUUCUCAGGGCUCAGUCCUACUUCUCAGGGCUCAGUCCUACUUCUCAGGGCUCAGUCCUACUUCUCAGGGCUCAGGGGUCAGUCCUACUUCUCAGGGCUCAGGGGUCAGUCCUAGUUCUCAGGGUCAACAUACUGCCAUCUAACAGGCUCUGUCCAACACACAGAGGAGGUUCAACAUACUGCCAUCUAUCCUGACAGGCUCUAUCCAACACACAACAUACUGCCAUCUAUCCUGACAGGAUCUAUCCAACACACAACAUACUGCCAUCUAUCCUGACAGGAUCUGUCCAACACACAACAUACUGCCAUCUAUCCUGACAGGCUCUGUCCAACACACAACAUACUGCCAUCUAUCCUGACAGGCUCUGCCCAACACACAACAUACUGCCAUCUAUCCAACACACAACAUACUACCAUCUAUCCAACACACAACAUACUGCCAUCUAUCCUGACAGGCUCUGUCCAACACACCACAUACUACCAUCUGUCCAACACACAACAUACUGCCAUCUAUCCUGACAGGCUCUGUCCAACACACAACAUACUGCCAUCUAUCCAACACACAACAUACUGCCAUCUAUCCUGACAGGAUCUGUCCAACACACAACAUACUGCCAUCUAUCCUGACAGGAUCUGUCCAACACACAACAUACUGACAUCUAUCCUGACAGGAUCUGUCCAACACACAACAUACUGACAUCUAUCCUGACAGGAUCUGUCCAACACACAGAGUGGUGUUGUUUUUCUACUGCUUAUGAAGCUGCUGGUGACUGGUUGUAUUCUUGGAUUCUACAUGAAAUGCUUCACUUAGGCUAGACUGGUCUAUGUUAGAGCAGAAACUGUGUGGCAGUGUUUACUAGGGUCUUCCCAGACAUACUGUAGUAGAUUCCUUUUGUGGUCCACAUUCAGGAUUAAACAGAAGUCUAAACAAACGGAUGGAUCUGGCUUAAGACGGCACUACGCUAGUUUUCUGAGACACACAAUUAUUCAAGGACGUUACCAGCACAAAGAACAACUAUAAAACAAACGGUUUGUAGUUCCAUCUGUACAAGAGACAGAAACACUGAAGUUAAAUUAUUCCUCUCAUUUAGCUCUCCCUCAACAUACUGUUCCACUGUCUGUUCCAUCAACCAGAGUUCAAUAACAGAACUAUUCUCUGGACCGGGACACAGAACCACCGUCUGUUCCAUCAACCAGAGUUCAAUAACAGAACUAUUCUCUGGACCGGGACACAGAACCACUGUCUGUUCCAUCAACCAGAGUUCAAUAACAGAACUAUACUCUGGACCGGGACACAGAACCACCGUCUGUUCCAUCAACCAGAGUUCAAUAACAGAACUAUUCUCUGG
ensembl:lncRNA